CGUGGGUUCCCGGUGGUCGAAUUUGGGCUGCUGGGGGCUGAGGGAUCCCUUUUAUAGGUUGAGGACGACGGAGGUGUGACGCGAUACGACCCGUCUUGAAACACGGACCAAGGAGUCUAGCGUAGCUGCGAGUCAAAGGGUGGUGAAACCUGAGGGCGCAGUGAAAGCGAAUUGUGAAAACGUUUUGCAGUUUGAGGCGGCAUAUGAUCGUUGAUCGUAAGUCCGACCUAGAGCAGUUAUGCUAGGACCCGAAAGAUGGUGAACUAUGCCGGAGUAGGGCGAAGCCAUAGGAAACUCUGGUGGAGGCUCGUAGCGGUGCUGACGUGCAAAUCGCUCGUCGAACUCGGGUAUAGGGGCGAAAGACUAAUCGAACCAUCUAGUAGCUGGUUUCCUCCGAAGUUUCUCUCAGGAUAGCAGGCCGAGGGGUGGUUGUUGUGUGCGGUAAAGCGAAUGAUUAGCGUAUUUGGGGGCGUUUAGCCUUCAGACGAUUCUCAAACUUUAAAUGCGCACGGAUGUUGCUGCUUUUGUGAGCGACAUCGUUAAAAACCUCGGCUUUGUGGGCCAAUUUUGGUAAGCAGAACUGGCGAUACGGGAUGAACCGUAAGUGUGGUUAAGGCGCCAAAUUAUCCGCUUAAAGAUCCCAAAAAAGGUGUUGAUUCAUCUAGACAGCAG
rnacentral:rRNA from 1 species